UACGGAGGGGGCUAGCGUUGUUCGGAAUUACUGGGCGUAAAGCGCGCGUAGGCGGCUUUGUAAGUUAGAGGUGAAAGCCCGGGGCUCAACCCCGGAAUUGCCUUUAAGACUGCAUCGCUAGAAUCGUGGAGAGGUAAGUGGAAUUCCGAGUGUAGAGGUGAAAUUCGUAGAUAUUCGGAAGAACACCAGUGGCGAAGGCGACUGACUGGACAUGUAUUGACGCUGAGGUGCGAAAGCGUGGGGAGCAAACAGG
rnacentral:rRNA from 1 species